CCUCUUCGUCAGCCCCCGUCGUCGUCGCACCUGUCAAGACUGCAUUUUUAAUUUCCAGAGGUGGAUCCGAAGCGCGGCGGCUCGAUCUGCAACGCCAGUAGCUGCAGUACGCCGCUCCCCCCUCUCGAUCUGCCCCGUCUCCAGCUGCUUCAGCAGGCCAAGAAACCAUAACGCCCCCCAAGCCCGGCGACCUCGGUAUCUCCAUCGACUGUCUCAGCAAGCGCUACCUCGUUCGGCUCCCGCAUAGCUGAUGGCUCGUGACAGUAAUCCUUUUUUGACAGGCUCGUGACAGUAAUCCAUCAAUGUGAAUCAAGUUGUGACAGGUAUCUCUGCAUGCUUAAUUCACUCAACUUUUUUGCAGUAGGACUAGUUGCUGGAAAUUUACUGAACUUUGUUUCCAGUAGAUGCACUGAAUUUAACAGAAAGAGUACGCAAGGAGUACGUGGAGUUGAUACACUGAAUUUUGUUUGAAGUAGAUGUCUUCUCGUCAAAGUCGGAUCAUUGGGAGGAGAGGCCUUUUGUUAGAGAAGGUAACGCUGCAAGGAUUGUCGCCGAGGCACGACAAGAUCACCCCUGCAGAUGGUCAUCGGCCAAACGUGGCGCUGCCUACUGGCAACAAGCACUUUAUGUGCACUACCAGCCUAAUGCUGUGAUGAGGCACUUUCUUCAUCCUAGCAGCACAAUGGAGAGCAAGCUCAUCUUUGCAGGAUAUCUCUUUGCAAUGACAAGUACCGUGUGAUUAAACUACCAACCGACAAGGAAACCAUGGAUCCUGGAUGAAUCAUAUGGUUAGAUGAAGUAGAUGAUGCAGGGUGAAUAUGACCUUAAGUGUGUGCGAGCGUCUGAUCAGCGUGUUCAGGGUCAGAUGGACAGUGGUCAAUCCAGGCAAUUCUGAAGUCACAAGGGGCUGAAGGUGUGGGCAAUUCUGAAGUCACAAGGGGCUGGAGGUGUGAGCAAUUCUGAAGUCACAAGGGGCUGGAGGUGUGGGCAAUUCUGAAGCCACAAGGGACUAUUCUCACUGCUCCUACAGCGAGGCAUGACGGGCAGAAGCUGCAAAAGGCGGCUGGAGGACGAGCAGGACUCGCCGGCAGCUGGAGGUGUCGGCUCGACGGGAAGGAGCCAUGAGGCUGUAGGGGUGCCGAUGAGUGGAGGUGCGGGCUCCAGGUGUUGGGGCGCCGGCGACUAGAGGCUGGAAGGCGUCGACGACUUGAGGUGGGGGCUCAAGGUGUUGGGGCGCCGGUGACUGGAUGUGGGAAGGCGCCGGCGACUGGAGGUGCGGGCUCGAGGCGGGAAGGAGCCGGCGACUGGAGGUGCGGGCUCGAGGCGGGAAGGCGCCGGCGACUGGAGGCCGCCGAGGAUCUCCGGCUACAUCG